rnacentral:rRNA from 1 species
AAACAACGACCCCACCUACACCCAAACUCCGCCUGGGUACUACGAGCAUUAGCUUAAAACCCAAAGGACUUGGCGGUGCUUUAAACCCACCUAGAGGAGCCUGUNCUAUAACCGAUACCCCCCGUUAAACCUCACCCCUUCUUGUCUAACCCGCUUAUAUACCACCGUCGUCAGCCUACCCUGUGAAGGCCCAAUAGUAGGCAAAGCUAGCACAGCCCAAAACGUCAGGUCGAGGUGUAGCGCAUGAAGGGGGAAGAAAUGGGCUACAUUCUCUGCCCAGAGAACAACGAAUGACGUGCUGAAAUGCACACCUAAAGGAGGAUUUAGCAGUAAGCAAGAAAUAGAGAGUCUC